rnacentral:rRNA from 1 species
UGGGGAAUAUUGGACAAUGGGCGAAAGCCUGAUCCAGCCAUGCCGCGUGUGUGAAGAAGGUCUUCGGAUUGUAAAGCACUUUAAGUUGGGAGGAAGGGCAUUAACCUAAUACGUUAGUGUUUUGACGUUACCGACAGAAUAAGCACCGGCUAACUCUGUGCCAGCAGCCGCGGUAAUACAGAGGGUGCAAGCGUUAAUCGGAAUUACUGGGCGUAAAGCGCGCGUAGGUGGUUGGUUAAGUUGGAUGUGAAAGCCCCGGGCUCAACCUGGGAACUGCAUCCAAAACUGGCAAGCUAGAGUACGGUAGAGGGUGGUGGAAUUUCCUGUGUAGCGGUGAAAUGCGUAGAUAUAGGAAGGAACACCAGUGGCGAAGGCGACCACCUGGACUGAUACUGACACUGAGGUGCGAAAGCGUGGGGAGCAAACA